GAUGAAGAACGUAGCGUAAUGCGAUACGUAAUGUGAAUUGCAGAAUUCAGUGAAUCAUCGAGUCUUUGAACGCACAUUGCGCCCCCUGGUAUUCCGGGGGGCAUGCCUGUCCGAGCGUCAUUGCUGCCCUCAAGCACGGCUUGUGUGUUGGGCCUCCGUCCUCCUCCCGGGGGACGGGCCCGAAAGGCAGCGGCGGCACCGCGUCCGGUCCUCGAGCGUAUGGGGCUUCGUCACCCGCUCUUGUAGGCCCGGCCGGCGCUUGCCGACACAUCAAUCUUUUUUCCAGGUUGACCUCGGAUCAGGUAGGGAUACCCGCUGAACUUAAGCAUAUCAAUAAGCGAGGA
rnacentral:misc_RNA from 1 species